CGCUGGCGGCGUGCCUAAUACAUGCAAGUCGAACGGUCUUUCUAUGGAAGCUUGCUCCACUGAGAAGAUAGUGGCGAACGGGUGAGUAACACGUGGGUAACCUGCCCAUAAGAGGGGGAUAACAUCCGGAAACGGGUGCUAAUACCGCAUAGUUUUCUUGAUCGCAUGAUUGAGAAAGGAAAGACGGCCUUUGUGCUGUCGCUUAUGGAUGGACCCGCGGCGUAUUAGUUAGUUGGUGAGGUAACGGCUCACCAAGACGAUGAUACGUAGCCGACCUGAGAGGGUGAUCGGCCACAUUGGGACUGAGACACGGCCCAAACUCCUACGGGAGGCAGCAGUAGGGAAUCUUCCGCAAUGGACGAAAGUCUGACGGAGCAACGCCGCGUGAGUGAAGAAGGUUUUCGGGAAUCGUAAAACUCUGUUGUCAGAGAAGAACAAGUUGGAGAGUAACUGCUCCAGCCUUGACGGUAUCUGACCAGAAAGCCACGGCUAACUACGUGCCAGCAGCAGC
rnacentral:rRNA from 1 species